CCCUUUGUAAAUGUACGCCCCCGAAUCAGAAUAUACAAUUAGCUAUAAAAAAUAAAAUCAGGCCAGGCGUUGUGGCUUACACCUAUAAUCCCAGCACUUUGGGAGGCCGAGGCGGGCGGAUCACCUGCUGAGGUCAGGAGUUCAAGACCAGCCUGGCUAACAUGGUGAACCUCCACUUCUACUAAAAAUACAAAAAAUUAGCUGGCCGUGGUGGCACAUGCCUGUAACCCCAGCUACUUGGGAGGCUGACGCAGGAGAAUCUCUUGAACCCGGAAAGCAGAGGUUGCAGUGAGCUAAGAUUGCGCCACUGCACUCCAGCUUGGGCAACAAGAGCAAAACUCCGCCUCAAAAAUAAAAUAAAUAGAAUAAAUGAUUUUCUUUGGUUUGAUCUUUCCUAAAUAAAAAUGAAUCACAAGCAGUAUACAGGAGCAAGGUACAAAAGGAACACAAAGAGAGUGACCCUUCACAACAUGGAUAGAAGAUACAAUUGUAUUUAAGCCUCAAGUAUUAAGCUUUGCAAGUAAGAGAAAAUUAACAAACAGUAUCCGCCCCCAAAAACAAACAUAACAGAUGUGUAUGAAUGUAGUAUUUAGAAUUAUUCUAGCACAGCAAGACUUUUUACUGUAACUUCACUAUAAAUAUAGACAUAAAUGCAAAGUUUGAGACAUCAAGAACCAAUUUUUAAAGGUACAUUUCCUGGAAUUAGAGCCACUACCUACCAAAAAUUCAUUUUGGAAUUCAUAUGUAGAAAUAUUUUAAACCUUAAAAUUUAAAAAUCUAUCCCUAUUAAAACUAAAUACAUUAUUAAGUGGGUUAGUUUAACAGGCCUCCUUCCACUCUGUGCAAAAAAAUAGGGAUUUUUGUCUGGAUAUGUAAUUUUGUUUAUCCAUAUUUGAGAACGUUCACCUCAGAAAAUGGCAUUUAAAGGACUUCAGUAACAUAGUUUUAUUCUUGUUCAGCUAUUUCUGAACAAGAAUCUAUAAAAUCUAACUUGUAAAUUCCAAAAAUAAAGCUUCGUGUACCUUAUCUUGAU
rnacentral:lncRNA from 1 species